rnacentral:rRNA from 1 species
UGCCAGCAGCCGCGGUAACACGGGGGGCGCAAGCGUUAUUCGGAAUUAUUGGGCGUAAAGGGUGCGUAGGCGGUUUGCCAAGUCAGAUGUGAAAUUCCCGGGCUUAACUCGGGGCGUGCAUUUGAAACUGGUAGACUUGAGUAAAGAAGAGGUAAGUGGAAUUCCUAGUGUAGCGGUGAAAUGCGUAGAUAUUAGGAGGAACACCAGUGGCGAAGGCGACUUACUGGUCUUUUACUGACGCUGAGGCACGAAAGCGUGGGGAGCAAACAGGAUUAGAUA